rnacentral:lncRNA from 1 species
UUCAAUCGCGAACGAUGAUUAAUCGGGCCAUUAAUGCCAAUCGAUGCUCCGGGAAGGUCAGUUUCAUCGCUAUUCAUGCCAAUUGAUUGAUUGCGAGGUUAAUCCUGUAAUUGAGAGGUUAAUCGUAUCUCUGUAUAUUCACCCCAGCCUAUAAAAUCCCAAACUUGCAGCUCGUCCUUUCCUACUCUGCUCAUUUUCGCAAACCACAGUCCAAAAGCAAAGUGAUGGGUGUUGCUUAGGUUCCAGCUCUGUUUGGUUUAAGGUGUUGUGCUUGUUCCAAUUCUCAGUUAUUGUCUGGAUAUAUAUGUACUGACAUGUCCUCCGUCUAAUUCAUAGUUUCAAAUGUACAGCUUCUCUCCAGGUUAGAAUUCUAGCUACGUACUGCUUGGUAUCUUUGGUUCUUCCAGCUGAUCCAAUGGCUAAUGGACAGGUCAGUGCCAGUUUCCUUUUAUGCCUCCUUUAAUUAUGCCUCAUCUCACAAUCUGUUCAUUGUAGUACAUACCUUCUAUUGGUAUGAUGUGAUUUCACUCCAUGAUUGUUUGAAAUAAUCAAAAGUACCGCCUACUUUUCCUGCAAUAUGUAGCAGGUUAAUUAGAAAGUGAAAAAUGCGGAAAAGAAAGACAAAUGUCGCACAAGGCGCCGAGGGUCAAAUGAAAAUGUUGUGCUUCGCAGAUCAAAAGAAACAAAACAUACAAAUGUCAUACAAGGCGCUCAUGCGUCGACAUCACAAUCACCAUCUUCUGAAAAUAUUGUUCUUCCCAAAUCAGCCCUCUCAGGCCAUUAGGGGUUUUAACCGUCAAAUCUGUUGUUUCAGCCUUUGCUGUCCAUUGGAUGUCGUUUUGGACCCGAUGAGCUCUGUACGUUGACCACAUAGCGAUUAACUGGAGUGGGCCGCUACUCCGGGAACUAUUUUGGACGUAUUCUGUGAAUUUGGGCCAAAUGGGCUAGGUGUCGCUCCAAAGGCGUCGAUCGCUGCUGCCUGGGUCGAUGCGGUCCCUUGGGAAGCGCAAGCGCAGGCGUGGUUUGACGAGCAGUCUGCUCGGUCGGCAUCUCAGACCGGUCCAUGGACCAUGGGGAUGCGAGGUUGUAGGCGAAGCGGCGGUGAUAAAUCACAAUUGAAUCGGCAUCUCAGACUGUUCGGUGAUGAAUCCGGCAAUCAAUCUUCAGUUUCAGGAAGCAUUCAUCACAAUUGAUGUGCGCCACUCACCGGCUGCAAUUAAAUGGGGGUGUGCGUUCCUUUUUCCUGCAACCUUUUCCUAGGGAUCCCAAUUCCCUCCAGGUUAUCAUCAGCUCCAUCCCCAUGAUUUCUUCAUGUGACCUUCAUGUUGGAUCUCGCUGGAUCUCUGCUACUUACCGCAAAAUACUAGGGCCGAGGGUGCAGCUGGUGUUCCUAUGCACGCUACUUUCCAAUAUGGCUGCUGCGCUGCUCCACCAGUCACUUGAGAGGAUCUGAGAUGGUCAUGGGCGGUGGAUCCAGAGGAUUUUUUUACUGGAGCACCUUGUCCUCAUAUUGCUGUAUUGAAACCUCUCGAAAAUCCUCCAACGAGGCAACGACUGGUUGUUGGUGAGCUCCGAUACACAUCUUCAGUUCUGAUUCUUCAAUCUGCAUUUGGUUUGAUCUGAAACAUCUGCUAUACUUGCUUGUUUCAUGUCUUUUUUUGGGUUCUGUCUAGCUGCGAUAGCUUACGGAUCACAUGCCAAGUCAAUUCUUAACUGUACAAUUUUCUUCUGAUAACAGUUUAUUUGCUGGAAAAGAGGUUGCUUCUGUGCUUGUAGGACAUCAUGUGAGAUGACAAGAAAUCUCAAAUGAAGAUAGUAAUUCAGCAAGGCCAGCGAGUCUAUUCUGUGGAAUGUUUAGUAGCCUUGUAAUUUAUAUGUACUGAAGGCCGGUGUCACCGUAGAAAGGGUGACCAAACUAUGAUCACGUUGCUGUCAGAUGGUGUUUCCAAACAAGUUCAACGAUGUAAGUUUAAGAGAAUGCAUGUGAUUGUUCUGUAGAUCUCAAAACAAAUAUUUCGAUUUUAGUUUCUUAUUCUCCAUUGUAACUUGAAUCUAUGUGGUUUCAUAAAUAAAAUCGGGGUGGAAUCCCUUCUUAAAAA